rnacentral:rRNA from 1 species
AUUGAACGCUGGCGGCAGGCCUAACACAUGCAAGUCGGGCGAGUGGCGGACGGGUGAGUAAUGUAUGGGGAACUGCCUGAUGGAGGGGGAUAACUAAUGGAAACGGUAGCUAAUACCGCAUACCAUCAGAUGAACCCAUAUGGGAUUAGCUGGUAGGUGAGGUAACGGCUCACCUAGGCGACGAUCCCUAGCUGGUCUGAGAGGAUGACCGGCCACAGUGGAACUGAGACACGUCCCAGACUCCUACGGAAGGCAGCAGUGGGGAAUAUUGGCAAUUGGGCGCAAGCCUGAUGCAGACAUGCCGCGUGGAUGAAGAAGGCCUUGGGGUGGUAAAGUACGUUCAGUCGGAAGGCGUUACCGACAGAAGAAGCACCGGCUAACUCCGUGCCAGCAGCCGCGGUAAUAC